rnacentral:rRNA from 1 species
AUUGAACGCUGGCGGCAGGCCUAACACAUGCAAGUCGAGCGGAUGAAGGGAGCUUGCUCCUGGAUUCAGCGGCGGACGGGUGAGUAAUGCCUAGGAAUCUGCCUGGUAGUGGGGGAUAACGUCCGGAAACGGGCGCUAAUACCGCAUACGUCCUGAGGGAGAAAGUGGGGGAUCUUCGGACCUCACGCUAUCAGAUGAGCCUAGGUCGGAUUAGCUAGUUGGUGGGGUAAAGGCCUACCAAGGCGACGAUCCGUAACUGGUCUGAGAGGAUGAUCAGUCACACUGGAACUGAGACACGGUCCAGACUACUACGGGAGGCAGCAGUGGGGAAUAUUGGACAAUGGGCGAAAGCCUGAUCCAGCCAUGCCGCGUGUGUGAAGAAGGUCUUCGGAUUGUAAAGAACUUUAAGUUGGGAGGAAGGGCAGUAAGUUAAUACCUUGCUGUUUUGACGGUACCAACAGAAUAAGCACCGGCUAACUUCGUG